GGAUGGGAUCAUACCAGCACUAACGCACCGGA
rnacentral:rRNA from 1 species